rnacentral:lncRNA from 1 species
UUUUUAAAAACUAUUACACCAACCCCAGCACACGUUGUUCUGACAUUACAAAAAUUCUAAUAUGACAUGAAUGUUUUCUACAAUUAUAGCGUUGAAAAAUCACCAAAUGUGAAAAACCAAUAAUUCAACAAGAAAAUUUGUAUUUUAAAAAAGUAAACCCUAAGACACCGACUCGUCGACCACUAUUAUCAUUGACCCAUAUAAAAUUAUAAUUUAUUCUAUAUUAUCGUAACCAGAAACGUCACAAGAAAAUUUUAGAAAUCAAACGUUAUCAUGCAAAAAAAAAAAAAAAGAAAUCUGAGAAUUUGGUAAAGAAGAGAUUUGAAAGAAAGGUUUUACACGAUUCUUCCUCCGAAAAACAACCUCAGAUAGAUGAUGAAAUAGAACAGAGGAUCAAGGAAGUGAGAGAGAGAGAGAGAUCUGAGGAAGAAGAACAAAAGAAAGAAUCUAAGAAAGAAUGAAAGUUUAGGAAAUGAAGAAGGAGAGGCUGAGAGUGAAAGACGGAAAGAAAAAGAAAAAAAAAAGAAUGGUUUAGAAUUUUGAGUCAAAGCUAGUUUUAAGGAGACGUAUUUUUUUUUGGCUAUUCUUCUACUCAGAGAAA